UGAGGGCAGGAGGACUGAUAGAGACAGUGAUGUCACUGUGGGAGCUGCCUUGUGGGGACAGGAGACGUCCCUCCUCCUCUGCUCCUGCUCACAAGGACCUGACCCAGAAAACCUCCCACUCCUGACCUGACCCUGCCAUGAGCACCAGGCUCCUCUGCUGGGUGACCCUCUGUCUCCUGGGGGCCGGUAACACAGAGGCUGGAGUCUCCCAGUCCCCCAGGCACAAGGUCACCAAGAGGGGACAGAAUGUGACAUUUCAGUGUGAUCCAGUUUCUGGACACACUGUUCUUUACUGGUACCGACAGACACUGGGGCAGAGUCCGGAGCUAUUGGUGUACUUCCAAGGCAAGGACCCUGUAGACACCUCCGGGAUGCCUAAGGAUCGGUUCUUCAUUGUGAGACCUGACGGCACCUCCUCCACUCUGAGCAUCCAGCCUGCAGAGCCUGGGGACUCGGCCAUGUACCUCUGUGCCAGCAGUGAAACCACAGUGUGGCACCGUCCCCAACUGCCUGCUCACAAACCCUCCUGUGCCCCCCUCUGCUCAUGGGUCUGA